rnacentral:rRNA from 1 species
UGGGGAAUAUUGCACAAUGGGCGCAAGCCUGAUGCAGCAACGCCGCGUGAGGGACGANGGCCUUCGGGUUGUAAACCUCUUUUAGUAGGGAAGAAGCGAAAGUGACGGUACCUGCAGAAAAAGCACCGGCUAACUACGUGCCAGCACCGCGGUAAUACGUAGGGUGCGACGUUGUCCGGAAUUAUUGGGGCGUAAAGAGCUCGUAGGCGGUCUGUCGCGUCUGCUGUGAAAAUCCCGAGGCUCAACCUCGGGCCCUGCAGUGGGGUACGGGCAGACUGGAGUGCGGUAGGGGAGAAUGGAAUUCCUGGUGUAGCGGUGGAAUGCGCAGAUAUCAGGAGGAACACCGAUGGCGAAGGCAGUUCUCUGGGCCGUAACUGACGCUGAGGAGCGAAAGCGUGGGGAGCGAACAGGAUUAGAUACCCUGGUAGUCCACGCCGUAAACGUUGGGCGCUAGAUGUGGGGA